GGGGUCCCAACGUGGCCACGACCACCGUGAGCGACGACGUCUUCAUGACCUUCAUCACCAGCAAGGAGGAUCUGAACUGCCAGGAGGAGGAGGACCCCAUGAACAAGCUGAAGGGACAGAAGAUCCUGUCCCAGCUGUUUUGGGAUCUGAGAUGUUUUGGUGUUUCAGGAUGGAUUUUUGGUGUUUCAGGAUGGAUUUUUGGUGUCCCAGAUUUUUGGUGUUUCAGGAUGGAUUUUUGGUGUUUCAGGAUGGAUUUUUGGUGUCCCAGCUUUUUGGUGUUUCAGGAUGGAUUUUUGGUGUUUCAGGAUGGAUUUUUGGUGUUUAAGGGAUCUGUUUUUUGGGGUUUUUUUGCAGGAUCUGAACUGCCAGGAGGAGGAGGACCCCAUGAACAAGCUGAAGGGACAGAAGAUCCUGUCCCAGCUGUUUUGGGAUCUGAGAUGUUUUGGUGUUUCAGGAUGGAUUUUUGGUGUCCCAGCUGUUUUGAGGUCCCAGAUUUUUGGGAUCUGAGCUGUUUUUUGGGGUUUUU